AUACUUACCUGGCGGCGGAGACCCCACGAUCCUGCAGGUGGUUCUUCCGGGGCGAGGCUCGGCCAUUGCACGCGGCCGUGCUGACCCCUGCGGUUUCCCAACGUGGGAGACUCGGCUGCGCAAUUUCUGAUAGUGGGGCCUGCGCGCGCGCUUGUCCCGG
rnacentral:snRNA from 1 species